rnacentral:rRNA from 1 species
UACGAACUGUGCGAACGUUAUUCGGAAUCACUGGGCGUAAAGGGCGCGUAGGCGGCUCGGUAAGUAGGGGGUGAAAUCCUGCGGCUUAACCGCAGGGCUGCCUUCUAAACUGUCGAGCUCGAGCACGGUAGAGGCAGAUGGAAUUCCCGGUGUAGCGGUGGAAUGCGUAGAGAUCGGGAAGAACAUCAGUGGCGAAGGCGGUCUGCUGGGCCGUUGCUGACGCUGAGACGCGAAAGCGUGGGGAGCGAACAGG